AGUUGGAAUGCACACACUCAGAGGUAACUAAUAGCAAAAAAUGAGUAGUCUCCUUCCGUUCACACCCACUUGACUGGUGUUGAUUCAAGAUUCAGCUGGAUGCUGGGUGGCAGAAGGAAGGGAAGGUAUUAGCUGUUGCCUGAGGACCAAGAGGGACCAUCUAAUGGCUCCAUGUGAAAUGAGAAGGCUUUCAGGUAUAAAGUCACAGGGCAAGAUGCCAAACAUCCCACCAUUUACCUAUCAUUUCAGGACCAUAUGUGCAAAAUUGCAGCAGAGCACAGGCUCCGGACGCGCAGGCUUAGCUGGGCUC